rnacentral:lncRNA from 13 species
CGAAGAGGCAGCACGCUCACCAGGCACAGACCCGAAACAGCGUCCCUUUGAAGAUUUCCUCGAGUGGGGAAUCAUAUGUGCUGGAAACGUCCUUGCUCCACCAGCCGGAGGCCAGGAAGCGAGCGCCAAAUGCUGUUUACAGGACAGCUCUUAUUUCAGGAAUGAAGACUAAGGCUCAGCAGGUAGGAGGCCUUGAGAACAAGCACCGAAUUUCCAAGAAGCCCACGCUGCGACGGAGCUGCAGAGUGCUUGGCUCAGGGAACUCAUUGGAUAAUGAGACAGGAGACGCUUGCGAUGUUGUAAUAAACCCAUGCAAACUCAUCUACAUUAACAGGGGCACCAGCUUACUAUGCUGGGGAAGAUUUGAAGAUCAAGAGUUAGGCAAAACCGAGUUGAAAUCUCAGAUAAAUGACUUCGGUGGUCAUGGGAUGCUACAACUGGAUCAAUUUGCUGAUAAAGGUGCUCAUUCGAGCUGAAGGAUUUAAUAGAGAAAAAGCAGACUAAGAAAUAGAAUAUUUAAACACUUCAAGUCAUUUCCUUGGAAAGGCUUUCUGCAUCUUGUUGGAGGAGCGAGUCAUCUUCCUGUGUGAAAUGUUCAAAGCUCAUUUCCGGUGAGUAAUGAGAGGGGCAUUCAGGUCUGGAUGCAGCCACUGUGCACGUGGUGAAGUCCACGGUACUACAGCUUCCUCUUCAGAAAACAGAGGUGCUGCCUCUUGGGCCCCAUUAUUCUGGGCUCUUCGCCAGGCCACAAAACAACCAGAGUUUCUAAGGGGCAUAAGCUGAUGGCAUCUGCUAGCUCUCUAUCCAGUGCAACUAUGGUUGUCUGUGACUCACAGUAAGCUCACACCGGAAGUCUUUUCCGUGUGUUUCUG